AACGAACGUUGGCGGCGUGGAUUAGGCAUGCAAGUCGUACGAGUUUCAUCUGGGUACCUGGCUGAAAAAAGUGGCGAAAGGGGCAGUAAGGCAUGGAUAAUCUACCCUGAUGACCGGGAUAGCUGUCCCAACGGGCAGGUAAUACCGGAUGAGCUGGUGGGGACGCAUGGUUCUGCCAGGAAAGGCGCAAGCCGUGUCGGGAGGAAUCCAUGUGAUAUUAGCUAGUUGGUGAGGUAAAGGCUCACCAAGGCGAAGAUGUCUAGCGGGUGUGAGAGCACGACCCGCGCCAUUGGCACUGAGACACUGGCCAGACUCCUACGGGAGGCUGCAGUCGAGGAUCUUCGGCAAUGGGCGAAAGCCUGACCGAGCGACGCCGCGUGAGCGAUGAAGGCCAUUAGGUUGUAAAGCUCUGUCGAGGGGGAACAAGCCGCAAGGUUGAGUGAUCCCUGGAGGAAGCACGGGCUAAGUUCGUG
rnacentral:rRNA from 1 species